CAAAUACUCCAAAACCAUAUAUUUCCCCUCGUAGUCACUUAACAGCAAAUAGAGGAGUUGAAGCAAGAGAAAACGAGAUCACUAACAUUCGUUUUGAAGCAGAACAGUUGAGUUCGAGUCGAGCCCUUACGGAAUGCAGCCAAAGCCAUGGCAGUGGCCCGUUGGCUGCUGGCGACGCGCCGACACUACCGCCUUCGCCACCAUCAAUAUGCGAUCAAUCUGCUUCUUUCGUAAAAGUGGUAGUACAGAAGCAGAGGAGGGCGGGAGGUCGCCUGCCUGCUGCCUCCAGCCCAACCGGUGUAUUUCCUUGCACAACGACGGUUUCAAAUUUCAUUAACUUUCUCAGCUGAUUUACAUUUCCAAUGACACAACAUAAACAAUUUAAAUUACCUAAUUUACAAAAUA